rnacentral:rRNA from 1 species
UAAGGCGCCUGAUUCGACGCUCAUAUGAAACCAUGAAAGGCGUUGGUUGCUUAAGACAGCAGGACGGUGGCCAUGGAAGUCGGAAUCCGCUAAGGAGUGUGUAACAACUCACCUGCCGAAGCAACUAGCCCUGAAAAUGGAUGGCGCUGUAGCGUCGUGCCUAUACUCUGCCGUCAACGGCAAAGCGGGCGGCCCCUCACGGGGCGGCGCCGUUACGCCUUGACGAGUAGGAGGGUCGCGGCGGUGUGCGCGGAAGGGUCUGGGCGCGAGCCCGCCUGGAGCCGCCGCCGGUGCAGAUCUUGGUGGUAGUAGCAAAUACUCCAGCGAGGCCCUGGAGGACUGAUGUGGAGAAGGGUUUCUUGUGAACAGCUGUUGCACAAGAGUCAGUCGAUCCUAAGCCCUAGGAGAAAUCCGAAGCGAUGGUAUGCCGUUAAA